CCUACGGGAGGCAGCAGUGGGGGAUAUUGCACAAUGGGGGGAACCCUGAUGCAGCGACGCCGCGUGGGUGAAGGAGCGUUUCGGCGCGUAAAGCCCUAUCGGCAGGGAAGAAGGUGACGGUACCUGACUAAGAAGCCCCGGCGAACUACGUGCCAGCAGCUGCGGUAAUACGUAGGGGGCAAGCGUUCGCCGGAUUUACUGGGUGUAAAGGGGGCGCAGACGGCAAUGCAAGCCAGGAGUGAAAGCCCGGGGCCCAACCCCGGGACUGCUCUUGGAACUGCAUGGCUGGAGUACAGAAGGGGAAGGCGGAACUCCAAGUGUAGCGGUGGAAUGCGUAGAUAUAAGGAGGAACACCAGUGGCGAAGGCGGCCGGCUGGACUGUGACUGACGUUGAGGCCCGAAGGCAUGGGGAGCGAACAGGAUUAGAUACCCGGGUAGUC
rnacentral:rRNA from 1 species